CAGCUUUCAAAAGGACUUGGAGGCAUUUCCAAUUUCAAAAGACGAGGAAGUAAAGUUGGUGAUGUUUAUGCUGGAACUUCAAGGCGAAUCAAAGGGUCUUUCUGUUGGCGGACUGGCAGUGAUCAACAAAUCAAUGUCUCUAACAAUUGUCGGGGUAAUUAUUUCCUACUUUGCCGUUAUGCUGUCCCUGCCAAAGCGAUGAUUUUGAAAGGAAACGUUUUGCAACAGAGAGAGCCA